AACGAACGCUGGCGGCAGGCCUAACACAUGCAAGUCGAGCGAACCCUUCGGGGUUAGCGGCGGACGGGUGAGUAACGCGUGGGAACGUGCCCUUUGCUACGGAAUAGCCCCGGGAAACUGGGAGUAAUACCGUAUGUGCCCUUCGGGGGAAAGAUUUAUCGGCAAAGGAUCGGCCCGCGUUGGAUUAGGUAGUUGGUGGGGUAAUGGCCUACCAAGCCGACGAUCCAUAGCUGGUUUGAGAGGAUGAUCAGCCACACUGGGACUGAGACACGGCCCAGACUCCUACGGGAGGCAGCAGUGGGGAAUCUUAGACAAUGGGCGCAAGCCUGAUCUAGCCAUGCCGCGUGAUCGAUGAAGGCCUUAGGGUUGUAAAGAUCUUUCAGUGGGGAAGAUAAUGACUGUACCCACAGAAGAAGCCCCGGNUAACUCCGUG
rnacentral:rRNA from 1 species